UGCCAUCUUGGUGUUUACAUGGGGAAGGA
rnacentral:piRNA from 1 species